AACGCUGGCGGCGUGCCUAAUACAUGCAAGUCGAGCGAGCUUGCCUAGAUGAAUUUGGUGCUUGCACCAAAUGAAACUAGAUACAAGCGAGCGGCGGACGGGUGAGUAACACGUGGGUAACCUGCCCAAGAGACUGGGAUAACACCUGGAAACAGAUGCUAAUACCGGAUAACAACACUAGACGCAUGUCUAGAGUUUAAAAGAUGGUUCUGCUAUCACUCUUGGAUGGACCUGCGGUGCAUUAGCUAGUUGGUAAGGUAACGGCUUACCAAGGCAAUGAUGCAUAGCCGAGUUGAGAGACUGAUCGGCCACAUUGGGACUGAGACACGGCCCAAACUCCUACGGGAGGCAGCAGUAGGGAAUCUUCCACAAUGGACGCAAGUCUGAUGGAGCAACGCCGCGUGAGUGAAGAAGGGUUUCGGCUCGUAAAGCUCUGUUGGUAGUGAAGAAAGAUAGAGGUAGUAACUGGCCUUUAUUUGACGGUAAUUACUUAGAAAGUCACGGCUAACUACGUGCCAGCAGCCGCGGUAAUACGUAGGUGGCAAGCGUUGUCCGGAUUUAUUGGGCGUA
rnacentral:rRNA from 1 species